UACGAAGGGAGCUAGCGUUGUUCGGAAUCACUGGGCGUAAAGCGCACGUAGGCGGAUGUGUCAGUCAGGGGUGAAAUCCCGGAGCUCAACUUCGGAACUGCCUUUGAUACAGCACGUCUUGAGUCCGAUAGAGGUGGGUGGAAUUCCUAGUGUAGAGGUGAAAUUCGUAGAUAUUAGGAAGAACACCGGUGGCGAAGGCGGCCCACUGGAAUCGGUACUGACGCUGAGGUGCGAAAGCGUGGGGAGCAAACAGG
rnacentral:rRNA from 1 species